CUCUGACAUCUGCACAGGGUUCAUGGGGUUCAUAGGGUUCAUCCCUAGAGACCACCAAGAGCUGGCUUCUAUUACAACCUGGGUACAAGAGGAGAAGAUGGCCAGAGCCACUACGAGGUACUGAGAAGCCAUUGUGCUGCCAAGUGUCCCCAGAGCACCUCCUUGGAUUAAUACUGCAGUGGAUUUCUCCAUGGCGCGGGAUCAGCGAGCGGCGGCAGUGCUGUAAUCCAAGCGGAGCUGAGGGGGAAAGGGCGAGGCGAGAUCCGAUCCUGGCGGGCGGGAGCCGGGCGCUCUCCUCCGGCUGCCGGGGGAGCGCGGGGGCCCGCGGGGCUGACGGGGGGCGGCGGGCGACGAGCGGGUCCGACUGCGGAGCGGGGCACCGGCGCAGCCUUCUUUCCAAGGUCCAUCAGCAAUCGCAGUAAUUAGGGCUUUCCACCACCAGAAGAAGAAAGAGGCAAAAAGGAAAAAAAAAAAAAAAAAAGAGAAGAAAAAAAAGAAAAAAGCCCCCCCCUCCUAAAAAAAAAAAAAAAAAAGCCAACCCAACACACACACACAGCGCCCGUGGGCGUGAUUGUGCGGAAGCAAAUAAAAAUCUUCACAAGCGGCAGCGAAAGCGCCGCGGGCGACGAUCCGUGCCGGCAGCCCGAGCCCAGGUGGGGCCGCCGCGGGGUCCCCGCGCUCCCGGCCCCGGCGGCUCCGCGCCCACCGGGCGGGGGGGGCCGAGAGGAGCCGAGUUGCGCUCCCCGCCCGCCCCUCCGCUCUGCACCGCUCCGCACCGCUCGUUCAGAGGCCGGGCGGCGCGGCGCGGGGCGUCCGCGGCUGCAGAGCGUUCCUCGGGCUGCCUCCCUCCAUUUUACACAGAGAAGAAAAAAAGCCAGAAAAAAAAAUGAUAAAAAAUCCCAACAACAACAACAACAGCCGAAAGUUUCUGCAGAACCGGGGGAGGGGGCCCUUGUGCACGCGUGUGUCUGUCUUAGGGGCGACUGCUCCUGCACGGCGAGUAGGGGCAGGGGGAGGGGAGAAGUCCGGGGCUUCAGGAGCGGCGGCGGCGGUUCCCCCAAUCCAUCGCGGCUCCGGGCAGCGAGGGACGCGCGGAGCGAGUGGGGCUGCAGGCGGCCCCGCGCUGCGCUGCGCUACGCUGCGCUGCGCUGCCCAGCUCCCCCCGGCUCUCUCCUUCGCUGCUCUUCGCCCCGCUGCUUAAAACUGUUUAAAAAAAAAAAAAAAAAAAAGGGAAAAAAAAAAGUUGGAAAGCCAACGGCAGCUGAAAAACUUUGUGCGGAGCGCAUGCGCUCGGAGCCGACCUAUUACAGACUGGGCUGCAUUUUAAAGCUGUACGGCAGCGAGCGGGACCCUGCUGCAGCCCCGGGGCGGGUUGUGGAGUAACCGCACUGCGCUGCCCUUCGGGCCCCGGGGAGCGAACACCGCGGGGCAGCGCUGAGCCCCGUCCGUGGGAUUCCCCCCCCCUUUCCCCCGGGCCGGGUGGGCGCUGCGUGCCCCGUGCUGAGGUCUCUUCGUCGGUACCCGCGGGGCUUCCCACGUGCGGGCGGUGCGCGGAGCACAUGGCCGGGCCGGGGGGGCUGCGGCGGCGGUGCAGUGCGUGAUGCAGCAUCGUGUACCGCGAGUGCCGUUCGCCAAACGCUGGGGGACGGAACGGGCUCGACGUUUCGGGUUCCUCCUUCUCCAGCGUCUUUUUCCGCUGUAAAUUUGGCAGGUUGUUGACAAAGCUGUUCGGGUUCAAUCACGCACGGCCCAAUGAGAGGUGAAGGCGACGAGGGCUCCGCGGCCCCUUUGUAAUUCAGAGCGCUUUCACCGCUCCGCAGCCCUCGGCCAAAACUUUUGCCUUGCGCCCGAGCCCGACCGGGGGGGGGGGGGAGGGGGACAUUAUCAGAGCAGCGCUGGGAAACCCCAACAGGCAGCGAGAGCGGCCCCGCUAUCAGUAAAUGCGUUCACUCCUUCAAAUCCAUUGUAGUGCAAAAUCCCUUCUGCAGUCCGACAGGGAGGGGGGGGGGGGACGGCGCAGCCUCGCAGCACACGCACCGGCGCCGCAGCUGUCCCCCCGCCGCAGUGCAGCCUUCCAGGUAGGCACUGUCCCCAGGCAAAGCCCUUUCCACCCACCGCCCCCGGCUCCUGCCCGCCCGCAGUCCCGUGCUGCGGCUCCGUUCGGUGCCCGGCGCGGGGAGCCGUCCCAUGGGGCAUCCCGGGUUCGCUCCUCGGGUAAAUUGAGGUGCGGCACCGGGCACCCGGAGUGGGAGGUGGGUGUAUAGGGGGAGGGGGAGAUAAAGGGGUUCAUUGCUGUGGGGAAGGCCAACCUUAGUUUUAUGCAUGGUAAAUAAUAUUUUAUUGCCUUUGGUUUACUGUGGCAUUUCAAUUAUCCCCUUUAGGAGUCUGCAGACUGCGUGGGUUAAAGGUCAUUUCUCAAAUCACUAGAAUUAGGAAAGAAUAGCAGAAAUCUGGAAAGAGGGGAGGAGUCGCGCUGUAAAACAGGAAAGAUCGCCUGAAAUCAGCUAAUAAAGAGCCCCGAGCAGUUCACCACGUGCUUGUAGUGAGUGAUGUUUGGCAUCGGGUCAUGGCAUAAUGCUGUGGGCGCUCCUGGGCGCUGCUGUACACAGCAAUAGGACUGGGGAACGAAUAAAUCACGGGCACAUUUUCAAACCGUGGCUCACAGAAGUGGAAAUAAAGGGCAGAAAUCCAAACAUCCUGCAAGGCUUGAAGAAUUUUAAUUUCUCCUCGCUAUUUAAACCAGCUGGGUGAAGCUAGAGGGGGCCGGAGGGAGGAGCGCUGACGUUACAGGCAUUGGUGCUGCCUGAGCUGUGUGUCUGUGGGGCUGCUGGUCGUGGAGCUCCAUGGUUAAUGGGACAGUUGUGCCAUGUGUCUACUACCAAUGUCUGAGCAUUUUCAUGAGGAAAAAAUAAAAUGAAAUAAUAAUAAUAAUACUCCAAAACCCCAGGCUGCUCAGUAAUAUAAUAGGAAAUGCAAAGGUGUUGGUGAAUAUCCAAACAGCAGAACCCCAGAAGAGCAGUGCACCUGGUUGGAUCGAUGGUCUGCCAUAGAUCUGGUGGCUCAACAGUUCUCUGUAAGACAGAAAUGAGUCAUUUCCAGUAUCUCAGAUGGGUUUCUGUCCUUUUAUUAUUCUGCAGAAUAAUGCACUUUAACUAAGGGCUGUCACACCAGGACGCUACGUGCACGUGUUCAUUGCAGUGCUGCUGUGUGAUCUCUGUCUUUUCACAUUGACUGAUGGCAAACAGGCAGUCAGGCUGAUGGCACACUGCUCCAUCACGAAGAACCUGGAGGGAAG
rnacentral:lncRNA from 1 species